CCUCAUAUAGUGUAGUGGUUCAGCACGCAGGAUUUUGAUAACAAUCCUCAAUCUUCCUGAGUCCCAGGUUCGAACCCUGGUAUGAGGU